AACAGUUUAAUAUGGGUAGCAUUGGACCGGUUCGGACCUAUAUAUAUGAACCAUUUAAAACCGAACCGAACCGGUUUAAUUCACAAUUUUACAUGCUGGCAAUUUCACAAAGGCCCUAGCCUUUUUCCAUUCAGACUCAGCAAAACACACAUUUCCUCACUUUUCUCAUCUCACGCUCUCUCACUUUCUCUUCAAGAACUGUUCAUCUUCUCAAACCCUAAUCCACCGUCGCCGCUGCAAAAACCUUAAUAUGGCAUAGAUCCUUCUUCUAAACCGUGUAUAUUGUUCACUGAACUCUUCUUCAUCAUCUUCUUUAAGAUCUCUGAUUCUUCUAAAAAACUCUAAUCAGGUAAUGUUACUUUUCUGUUUGAUUCUUGAUUUAAUAGCUAAUGUUAUCUCUCUGAUUCUUGAUUUAUUUGUAUUAAUUAUUUUGUUGGAUUUUGUUUUGACAUGUUUUAUUAUAUGGACUGGAAAUUGGAAAGAUGGAGCAAGGAGAUAGUAGUAGAGAAGUACCACCAGUUGGGUUGGAAAUUAUGGAGCAAGAACAACAAGACACUGCAACUGAGGCUCUUAUCCCUCCUAUUGACCAUAGUAGAAAGAGAAGGAGGCCUAAUGCGGAUGGUCCCAAGAAAAAAUCUUCAUGUUGGGACCAUUUUAUCGAAUUAACUGAUGUUGUGGAACGAACUGCUGCCUGUAAGCAUUGCCAUAAACGAUAUAGAUGUGAUCCUAAAUCACACGGAACGUCUAACAUGCUCGCCCACUCCAAAAUUUGUUACAAAAAUCCUUACCUAGAAAAUGACCUGAAACAAACCAACCUUGCUUUUGGUAGUGGUGGCUUGAUUUCUGUUAGCCCAAAGUUUGAUAAAGAAGCUUGUAGAAAGGCAAUAACUCUGUUUGUUAUCCUUGAUGAACACCCAUUUAGAGUAGUUGAUGGUGAGGGUUUUAUAUUCUUAUGUAAUCAAUUAGAACCACUUUUGACUAUCCCAUCUAGGAGGACAGUUGCUAGGGAUUGUUUUCAGUUGUAUCUAGAUGAGAAGUUGCGAUUGAAAGCUUAUUUUAGGUCUGAUUGCAGCAGGGUAGCACUUACUACAGAUUGUUGGACUUCCAUUCAAAACCUUAGCUAUAUAACAGUUACAGCUCACUUUGUUGACAAUGAUUGGAACUACCAAAAAAGAAUCAUUAGCUUUAGUUUAGUUCCUAAUCACAAAGGGGAGACCAUUGGUAGAAAACUUGAGGAUGUAUUGAGGGAAUGGGGUCUUAGAAAUGUGUCUACAAUCACUUCAGAUUAAGAUGUUUUGCUUGUUGGAAUUUGGCAUUUUGUUUUCAAAUGUUUGGCUUGCUUACUAUGAGACUGCUCAUUUGUCAAAGAGUUGUGAAUUGAAAGCCACAAAACUCUAUAACAGUAAGUAACGGUUCCAAGCAACAUUAAAUUUCCAUGUAGUUGUGAUUGAGGGUCAAGCUCUAGAAUAGGCAUUGCUGAGUUGAACCAUGGGAAAGUGAAUGCUCAAUAGAUUUAAUUGGUGUACAAACAAUAGGUUCCGUUGAUAUCAAGGUUCAGCAUAUGCAGAUUCAACAUACCCCAAUUCAACAAAUAUGCCAAUUCAACAAUGCAUAAUGGUUUAUCUAUAUCUUUAUCUCAAGAACUACAAUCACAAUAUUUGUCCUUCUUGUUGGAUGAAUUAUUGAUCAUGUUGCUUGUUGGAUGGUUUUAAACUUCUUUGAUACUCACUAUGGAUGAUUGUAAUUAUAACUUUAGAUGUGUUGUGUCUAUAUUAAUAGUGUUGUUAUAAUGCUAAAUGUUAAGAUAAUUAGACAUGUGAUUGAUAAUAUAUUUAUUAAUAGCCUUGAGCUUGA